CAGGAUGAACGGUGGCGGGCGUCCCUAAAUACAUGCCAAUUCGAAGGCUUUACCUUGGUAAAAGGGUGGCGAACGGGGUGGAGUAAUACCUAAGUACCCUGCCCCCGACCAGGGGGCCAACUGCUGGAAACGCCAGCUAAUACCGCAUGGGUAGGCAGUACGCAUGUAUUGCCUAUGAAAAGCAGCUGAGGGCUGCGGUAGGGGAUGGACUUAUGGCGCAUUAGCUAGUUUGGUGAGGUAACGGCCCACCAAGGCGACGAUGCGUAGCCGACCUGAGAGGGUGACCGGCCACACUGGGACUGAGACACGGCCCAGACUCCUACGGGAGGCAGCAGUAGGGAAUUUUCGGCAAUGGGCGAAAGCCUGACCGAGCAACGCCGCGUGAAGGAAAAAGGAAUUCGUUCUGUAAACUUCUGUCAUAGAGGAAGAACGGUAUGAUCAGGGAAUGGGUCAUAAGUGACGGUACUCUAUAAGAAAGCCACGGCUAACUACGUGCCAGCAGCCGCGGUAAUACGUAGGUGGCGAGCGUUAUCCGGAAUUAUUGGGCGUAAAGAGGGAGCAGGCGGCACUAAGGGUCUGUGGUGAAAGCCCGAAGCUUAACUUCGGCGAGCCAUGGAAACCGUAGAGCUAGAGUGUGUGAGAGGAUCGUGGAAUUCCAUGUGUAGCGGUGAAAUGCGUAGAUAUAUGGAGGAACACCAGUGGCGAAGGCGACGAUCUGGCGCACAACUGACGCUCAGUCCCGAAAGCGUGGGGAGCAAAUAGGAUUAGAUACCCUAGUAGUCCACGCCGUAAACGAUGAGUAAUAAGUGUGGGAGUCAAAUCUCAGUGCUGCAGUUAACGCA
rnacentral:rRNA from 1 species